GACGAACGCUGGCGGCGUGCCUAAUACAUGCAAGUCGAACGCAGUGGGGACGGGUGAGUAACACGUGGGUAACCUCCCAUCAGAGGGGAUAACACUUGGAAACAGGUGCUAAACCGAUACUGAUGGAUGGACCCGCGGUGCAUUAGCUAGUUGGUGAGGUAACGGCUCACCAAGGCCACGAUGCAUAGCCGACCUGAGAGGGUGAUCGGCAAGAGUGAAACAGGGACACGGCCCAUGCUCCUACGGUAGGAAGCAGUGGGAAAUCUUCGGCGAUGGACGAAAGUCGGACCGAGCAACGCCGCGUGGGUGAAGAAGGUUUUCGGAUCGUAAAACUCUGGUGUUAGAGAAGCGUUAUCUAACCAGAAAGCCACGGCUAACUACGUGCCAGCGGCCGCGGUAAUUC
rnacentral:rRNA from 1 species